GUAGGUGAACCUGCGGAAGGAUCAUUAAUACGUAUCCAACGUUAAACCCCCCUGUGAACUUUCAUAUCCUGCUCUCGAACCGCUAGACCUGCAAUCCCUGGUAAAUCAUUGUUGAACAGAUUUUGAUUCAGGGACUUCACGUUUACGUCUAGAUCAAUUCGAGCGGUUACGUUCAAGUGGCUGGCUUUCCCCAAGCACUCAUUGUUCUAAAAGCCGGAAUCGCGCGGAGGUUCGCCUUACACAUAUGUGU
rnacentral:misc_RNA from 1 species